rnacentral:rRNA from 1 species
CGAGGAAUUUUGCACAAUCGACGCAAGUCGGAUGCAGCAACGCCGCGUGCGGGAAGAAGGCCCUCGGGUUGUAAACCGCUUUUGUGGGGGAAGAAGAUCUGACGGUACCCCACGAAUAAGUCACGGCUAACUACGUGCCAGCAGCCGCGGUAAUACGUAGGUGGCAAACGUUGUCCGGAUUCACUGGGCGUAAAGCGCGCGCAGGCGGAUUGGUCAGUCCGAGGUUAAAGCUCCCGGCUCAACUGGGAGAGGCCCUUGGAUACUGCCAGUCUUGAGGUGCCUAGAGGAGAGUGGAAUUCCCGGUGUAGUGGUGGAAUGCGUAGAUAUCGGGAGGAACACCAGUGGCGAAGGCGGCUCUCUGGGGGCGACCUGACGCUGAGGCGCGAAAGCAUGGGGAGCAAACCGG